UACGUAGGGUGCAAGCGUUAAUCGGAAUUACUGGGCGUAAAGCGUGCGCAGGCGGUUGUGCAAGACCGAUGGGAAAUCCCCGGGCUCAACCUGGGAAUGGCAUUGGUGACUGCACGGCUAGAGUGUGUCAGAGGGGGGUAGAAUUCCACGUGUAGCAGUGAAAUGCGUAGAGAUGUGGAGGAAUACCGAUGGCGAAGGCAGCCCCCUGGGAUAACACUGACGCUCAUGCACGAAAGCUAGGGGAGCGAAUGGG
rnacentral:rRNA from 1 species